GUUCGGAAACGGACGCUAAUACCGCAUACGUCCUACGGGAGAAAGCGAGGGGACCUUCGGGCCUUGCGCUAUCAGAUGAGCCUAGGUCGGAUUAGCUAGUUGGGUGGGGGUAAAUGGGCUCACCAAGGCGACGAUCCGUAACUGGUCUGAGAGGAUGAUCAGUCACACUGGAACUGAGACACGGUCCAGACUCCUACGGGAGGCAGCAGUGGGGAAUAUUGGGACAAUGGGCGAAAGCCUGAUCCCAGCCAUGCCGCGUGUGUGAAGAAGGUCUUCGGAUUGUAAAGCACUUUAAGUUGGGAGGAAGGGGUUGUAGAUUAAUACUCUGCAAUUUUGACGUUACCGACAGAAUAAGCACCGGGCUAACUCUGUGCCCAGCAGCCGCGGGUAAAUA
rnacentral:rRNA from 1 species